rnacentral:lncRNA from 1 species
CCCCUAGAUCCUGGUGUCUGUGCCACCCUAGAGCCCCUCCCAGUCUGCCAGGGGCCACACCGAGCAGGGCUGGGAGCCUGUUGCACCAGGAGUGAGUGUGAGCAUCUGUCAGCAGAGACACGGACCCUUCACCACCCACCAUGGAGCCCCAGGUGCCGGGACGGAUGCCCAGGGCUGGACUCCUGCUGCUGCCCCUUCUCCUCUGCUUCGGGCCAGAGACCGCCGGGAGCAUCGACCCGGCCGCGCUCAAAAAAAUCGUGGAUCAUGUUCAUAAUAACGGCGGAGUUAACAAGCAAUAUGCUUUCGCUGUCACGCUGCCCCAUGGCACCUGCAGCAACCCCCAGGAUGUGGCCACCUAUCUGCCCAUGGCCCAGCUAGCAGACAUGAGAAAGAAGAUUGACUCGUUCGGUGCCCUGUACAACCUGCCCAACGGGAACAUUGUGGCUGCCCGGCCAAAGGAAGUGAAUAAACCGAAAGGGAAAUACACGGAGCACAGCGAGUGGCGUCUGCUCUCCGGCCCAAACAGCCUUGUGGCCCAGCUCACGGCCAGGACCUAUGGCCAGAACAGCUGCCUGAUCUUAUUCACCUUCAAUUCGCCCUGCUCCACCAAGUGUCUGCGCGAGAACGGGCGCUCCAACAUCGUGCAGAUGACCAGCGCUGCCUUCUCGGCCAUCAACAACAACUACAAGGCCUUCGUGUUCCAGAAGAUCUUCGACUAUGACAUGAAGCCUGAAGUGACCCGGAAGGACCUGCUGGAUGCCUGGCACCGGCUGCGCGAUGUGCCCCUGCUGCGCUGCGACAACAACGGCUGCCAGGACUGUGCUCCGGUGGACCCCCGAAACAACCCCUGCCUGGCUGGGAAGAAGUAGAUGAUGGAGCAGAGGCAGGAACCACGUGCGACUCUUUCUGCCACUGGCCUCCCUCGCUGCCCAUGUGCUUCUGGAUCGCUGAGUGUAACAGAAACAUGUCCCAACCAGGCACCAGGCUGCAAUCCAGAACCCCACUCUGACCUGUGCUCCAAUCUAGAACCCUAAUCCACAUGUGUGCUCCAAUCUAGAACCCUGUUCCUGGGCAUGUGUUGAUUUAGAAUGUGAUUUCUCAGUAUGUGCCAACCUAGAACCCCUUCCAGAGUCUGUUCCCAUCUAGAACCCCAUGCAUGGAUGUGUUAAAAUCUGCAAUCUAGAGCCCCAUUGCUGUGUGUGCUCCAAUUCAGUACCCCAUUCCCAUCUUCGGUUGUGAUCCAGCCUAGAACUCCAUCCCUGGGUGUGCUCCAAUCUGUGAUCUAGAAGCCCGUCCUUCUCC